GAUGAAGAACGUAGCGAAUUGCGAUAAGUAAUGUGAAUUGCAGAUUUUCAGUGAAUCAUCGAAUCUUUGAACGCACCUUGCGCUCCUUGGUAUUCCGAGGAGCAUGCCUGUUUGAGUGUCAUUUAAUUCUCAACCAUCCCUCGAUUUGUUUCGAGGUUUGGCUUGGAUUUUGGGAGCUGCCGGGCGACCCUACGGUCUUCGGCUCUCCUUAAAAGCAUUAGCGAUGGUGGAACGACCUAACUCCAUGCAUGAACGGCCUUCGACGUGAUAAUGAUCGUCGUGGCUGGAGUGCUAGCGGGCGUCGUGAAGCCAGCGCUUCUAAAUCUCUCGUCGAAAGACGAAACUCGAAACUUGACCUCAAAUCAGGUAGGACUACCCGCUGAACUUAAGCAUAUCAAUAAGCGGAGGA
rnacentral:misc_RNA from 1 species